AUGGCUGGCCUUAGGAGCUAGCAGACAAAAGAUUCCACCAACCUUGACCAGGCCUUGCCUGGAUUUCUCCAUCUGUGUUCUUCAGACAAACAAUUUUUUAACCCUUGACCAGGACUUGUCCAUCAGUCCUCAGCAAGCUUUGAGACAAUGGUGCAAAAGAAUAAUCUCUUACAGCAAUGCACCUGAGUGAUCAGAAGGGGUGGAGCCAGGAUCCAUCCCUGCCCAGAUCUCAUUUAUGGGUUGGCAGUGGAGGCAAAGAUAUUUUUACUGGAAAUCUCUGCCUGCCAGAGGCUUUCUGAAGAAACAGAACAUACCUUCAUACUGGACACUAUAAAGAAAAAUCAAGUCUAUUCCAGCUGAAACCAGGGCAGUGAGACAGAAGAGAGAGAGAAACUAACCACUAUCAAUCUGUAAAGGAUACAAUGCAACACAGCCAAAACCAGCACAGUUCUACACUGAAGUGUGGGGAUACGCUUGAAAACAGAUGUCCCCAUGUCCUCCAUGUUAUUACAUGCAGCCCUAGCUGUACUGCUUGAAUGCUCAGCAGACUGCUUACCUGUAUCUGGGCACUAUGAAUGUGAGAGUCUGAAAUCAGAGUUGUUUUAAAUUUAUUUUCCCUUCCCAUGGGAUAUUGCACUGAGCUACUGUAAAGUUAUUGUGCAUCAGAGAAAUUGAGCAGUCAUUAUAUUUCCAAGUGUUUCUAAAUUAUAACUUGAGAUGAAAUGAUUCAUUUGUUAAUCUAAAGGGUCAUUUCUUUGCCUUGAUCUUCACUGGCAGUCAGGCUUCCCACACCUCUCAUGUCCCUAAACCUUCAAGGCAGGGAUCAGGGGAGCAAAAUCCUUCCCACUGUUGUAGAAACGGUAUGCCCCUAUGUUCUUUGGUAUAGCCAUGACUCACUGCAUUUCCUUCUCUUUCCCCACUGUUACCACCACCCAACUCCAAAGGGAAAACCAGUGUUUUAUGUGUGUAUGUGUGUUUACACACAGGGCUGUGCACUGGUCAGUUUUUGUGAUUCUGAGAGUACUGGCCCUUUCCAUUACUCAGUGCUUGUUGUUCUUCUCCAAACACCUCUUAAGAAACCUGGCAGCAAAGCAUUCAGGCAGCUACAGCCUCACAACAGCAAACAGGAGUGUUUAGGGGCAGUUGCUUGCUCUGUCAUUAACAUAUUUCCAGAUAGCAGAUUUUUGGAGAACUAAAAAGUACUAGAACUCAAGUCCUACCAGGAGUGCACAAUUUGUUACAAGGCCCUGGUGGGCAACUGAGAAUUUUGAGAUCCUUUAUGAAAAGUGAAUCUCCAGGUAAGUGAGGAGCAAGUACAUUAGAUAUCAGAAAGCAACCAGCUCAAGAUCACAGAAAAAAAGGCAGUAAGGCAAUACAUAGUCUUAUCAAGGCCAGAGUAGAGCACCUAGGCUUUCCGUUAUUGUAAAAUUCUCAUAAAAGCUGUGUCAAGCUAUGCAGUUAAAAAAAGAACUUCAAACUUGUUGCAUUUGAAAUGCAUUAAAGCUAAUGGAGAAAAUAUAUAGGUUUAAAGUUAAAAAAAACAAACAAACAAACAAAAAAAAAACACUAUUCCAUAAAUCAAGAAUGUCUGUAGCAGGACUUUUUAAGAUCCCCAUGACAAUAUAUUUCUUUAAAGUGUCUCAAAUUGCCAAACUGCCCAUAAUUUAGGAGAUGGACUGUAGAGAGAAACGUGACUUCAGACACCUGCAGUGCUUACAUCUCCAUUUGCAUUUUGUCAGUUUAGCUCAAGAUAAAAUGAAGAGAUAAGGCUACUCCCAGAAGUAUGGUCUUCUAUGGACUGGAACAGAAGGAUAAAAAAAUCAUAGUAAUUAAUGUUUUUAUAUUCCAUCUUGCUAAACUCCUAUUUAAAUGUAGAAAAGAGAUUUUGAAAAGCAGCCUUUGCCAAGUUUAGGACAACAGAUGCUACGCUGGAAAACUGCCCGGUUGCUUUCUGGAAUCUGAAGCCAGUGAAAGGGAAGGCCAUUGCAUCAAUGAGAAAAGAAUUACAGAUAAACUAAUUUCUGGGUACAUUAUUGAAUUAUGGUAUAAAUACAAUGUGUGGAAAUUGAGUUUUCCUAAAUCUGCCGUAUUUGAAUUUGUAAUUUUAAAAUUCUGUCAGUAUUUUUGAUGAAAUGUCACUGGAAAACAUUAAUGAAACAGUUAUAUGAUAGAAAAUAAUAGUUAAUCAAAACCUGGUUUUGCAAAACCAAUGUAACCCACAUAAGAUUUCUCCAAAAUGAAAAACAGUUUCUAUAGAUAUAAAUAUUAAGAAUCUACAUUGUCU
ensembl:lncRNA